GAUACACUGUAUUAAUGGAGGUGUGGUGGAGGUGUGUGUGUCUACAGAUACACUGUAUUAAUGGAGGUGUGGUGGAGGUGUGUCUACCUUGACUUAAGAUCCACCACCUUCACAAGUGAUGACUAAGGUUCUCAGUGCAACUGCUACUUUCUUUAUGAAAUUAAAUAACAUUCUGUUUUACUACAGAUGGGGAGCCCCACCGGGCCUUCACGACUGGACUACCGACGUUAUCUACCCGAGGGAGUUAUCCAACUGGCCCCUCCGUUGCGACGUUACCUGAACGCCCAUCUGCAGCCCGCUAAUCGUUAGCUGUCUUAUCGGCUGUUGUCUGAAUAGGUCUGUCGCACAAUAUUUCUUGGGUCACUACAACUAUAUCUAUUUUGCCAAUUGGAUUGGUCCCCUCUACCACACGGAACCCCACUAAUCUACCGACAGAAACGCACGAGGUGGCUAAAAACAGACCUCCAUCCUAUGCUAGUUUGCUACCGAUGGCCUGGCUAGCUGUCUGAAUCGCCGUGACCCCCACCAACCUCACUACUCACUGGACCCUUAUGAUCACUCGACUAAGCACGCCUCUCCUUAAUGUCAAUAUGCCUUGUCCAUUGCUGUUCUGGUUAGUGUUUAUUGGCUUAUUUCACUGUAGAGCCUCUAGCCCUGCUCACUAUACCUUAUCCAACCUUUCAGUUCCACCACCCACACAUGCGAUGACAUCACCUGGUUUCAAUGAUGUUUCUAGAGAUAAUAUCUCCCUCAUCAUCACUCAAUACCUAGGUUUACCCCCACUGUAUUCACAUCCUACCAUACCUUUGUCUGUACAUUAUACCUUGAAGCUAUUUUAUCGCCCCCAGAAACCUCCUUUUACUCUCUUUUCCAGACGACCAAUUCUUAUUGCUUUUAGCCGUACCCUUAUCCUACUCCUCCUCUGUUCCUUUGGUGAUGUAGAGGUGAAUCCAGGCCCUGCAGUGCCUAGCUCCACUCCUAUUUCCCAGGAACUCUCUUUUGAUGACUUCUGUAACCGUAAUAGCCUUGGUUUCAUGCAUGUUAACAUUAGAAGCCUCCUCCCUAAGUUUGUUUUAUUCACUGCUUUAGCACAAUCUGCCAACCCGGAUGUCCUAACCGUGUCUGAAUCCUGGCUUUGGCAGACCACCAAAAACUCUGAAAUCUCCAUCCCUAACUACAACAUUUUCAGACAAGAUAGAACGGCCAAAGGGGGCGGUGUUGCAAUUUACUGCAGAGAUAGCCUGCAGAGUUCCGUCCAACUAUCCAGGUCUGUACCCAAACAAUUUGAACUUCUACUUUUAAAAAUCCACCCCUCUAAAAAUAAGUCUCUCACCGUUGCCGCCUGCUAUAGACCACCCUCUGCCCCCAGCUGUGCUCUGGACACCAUAUGUGAACUGAUUGCCCCCCAUCUAUCUUCAGAGCUCGUGCUGCAAGGUGACCUAAACUGGAACAUGCUUAGCACCCCAGCCAUCCUACAAUCUAAGCUUGAUGCCCUCAAUCUCACACAAAUCAAUGAACCUACCAGAUACCACCCCAAAGCCGUAAACACGGGCACCCUCAUAGAUAUCAUCCUAACCAACUUGCCCUCUAAAUACACCUCUGCUGUUUUCAACCAAGAUCUCAGAGAUCACUGCCUCAUUGCCUGCAUCCGUAAUGGGUCAGCGGUCAAGCGACCUCCACUCAUCACUGUCAAACGCUCCCUGAAACACUUCAGCGAGCAGGCCUUUCUAAUCGACUGCUCUUAAAUACAAGUAAAACCAAAUGCAUGCUAUUCAACCGAUCACUGCCUGCACCUGCCCGCCCAUCCAGCAUCACUACCCUGGACGGUUCUGACUUGUGGAUAACUACAAAUACCUAGGUGUCUGGUUAGACUGUAAACUCUCCUUGCAGACUCACAUCAAACAUCUCCAAUCCAAAGUUCAAUUCUAGAUUUGCUUCCUAUUUCACAACAAAGCAUCCUUCACUCAUGCUGUCAAGCAUACCCUCGUAAAACUGACCAUCCUACCGAUCCUCGACUUCGCCGAUGUCAUUUACAACAGAGCCUCCAAUACCCUACUCAAUAAAUUGGAUGCACUCUAUCACAGUGCCAUCCGUUUUGUCACCAAAGCCCCAUAUUCUACCCACCACUGUGACCUGUACGCUCUCGUUGGCUGGCCCUCGCUUCAUACUCAUCGCCAAACCCACUGGCUCCAGGUCAUCUACAAGACCCUGCUAGGUAAAGUCCCCCCUUAUCUCAGCUCGCUGGUCACCAUAGCAGCACCCACCUGUAUCACGCGCUCCAGCAGGUAUAUCUCUCUAGUCACCCCCAAAACCAAUUCUUCCUUUGGCCGCCUCUCCUUCCAGUUCUUUGCUGCCAAUAACUGGAACGAACUACAAAAAUCUCUGAAACUGGAAACACUUAUCUCCCUCACUAGCUUUAAGCACCAGCUGUCAGAGCAGCUCACAGAUUACUGCACCUGUACAUAGCCCACCUAUAAUUUAGCCCAAACAACUACCUCUCCCCCUUCUGUAUUUAUUUUAUUUAUUUAUUUUACUCCUUUGCACCCCAUUAUUUCUAUUUCUACUUUGCACAUUCUUCCACUGCAAAUCUACCAUUCCAGUGUUUUACUUACUAUAUUGUAUUUACUUCGCCACCAUGGCCUUUUUUUGCCUUUACCUCCCUUAUCUCACCUCAUUUGCUCACAUCGUAUAUAGACUUGUUUAUACUGUAUUAUUGACUGUAUGUUUGUUUAUUCCAUGUGUAACUCUGUGUUGUUUGUGUCGAACUGCUUUGCUUUAUCUUGGCCAGGUCGCAAUUGUAAAUGAGAACUUGUUCUCAACUAGCCUACCUGGUUAAAUUAAGGUGAAAUAAAAAAUAAAAAAUCCUCCUGCACUGUAAUUUACGAAUUGAUAAGAGCUACAUUAGUACGCUGUUUGAUUAAGGGGAUUAUAAAUAUAAAUGACAAUUGUUUUACCUUAGGAUCGCUGGAGACAAAUGUGAAACCAGUCAUAUUGCAGCAGGCUGAAGCAUAUCAAUAUAUAUAUAUAUCACCUUUACCACAGGGCUGUUUAUGACAUAGUGGCCUUAUAACCUUUCAGGGAUGAAAUCUGGAGACCCAAACUAUAGGCUUCUGUUGCCAUGUGAAAAUGACAGUAUAGCACCAAAACUACUGAGUUGAUUUCUGAUUUCUAAAAUGUUCUCAUUAUAUUGUCAGUUAAAUCCACCUACUGAGUUGAUUUCUGAUUUCUAGAAUGUUUUCAUUAUAUCGUCAGUUAAAUCCACCUACUGUACAUUUACAACGGUCACAGACUUCAUAGUUAAUUUCCUUUGCAUCGUUAUUUUACCUUUCCUCCGUCUCAUUCCUGUGUUUGUUCCUGAUGAGUUUUUUUUCUGUUAAACAGCAGUUAACUUGCCAGCUACAUCAGUCAUCUAAAGAGUAGCCAGUUUCUGUUCUGCUUCCUUUUACAACUCAGUGGAAGAGCGCAACACGUACACACUGAACUAUGCUCAACUCUCCCAUGCCAGUCCAGCCAGCCUUCCAGAAGCUUUGCCUUCACUGGGUCCUAAAACCAAGUUGUAUAAAACACUUAACACAUUAACUCAUUAAACAACUUCAAAACAGCUUACCCGACCUCUUGGAGGCGUCCGUAUGGUCCUAAAGAACACCUUGUUUUGUAUCACAUUCCAAUGAUAACAUUGGGGGGGGGACAAAAAUGCCAUUUCAGAAUGUGGUUGGGACAUGUCCCCAUCCCCACUGAAAGUUGCGCCCAUGGUUGUUCCUGAGGAUAGCUAGCAAUAGUGGAUCAUAUUAGGCUAAUGCCUUACAAGCUGUGAAAUAGUCUGGGACAUGUAGCCUAUGGGAAUCAUUAUGGAAAGCAGGCCAUAUGUAGCAGAUUAAACCUGGAGCCUGAAGCACGGUUCACGAUGACCGGACUGUUGUCAUCACAGUUCCAUGAUAUAGGAAGGAUUAUCAGGGUAGAUUUAUAAGACUACUGGUCAACCCCUGAUUGUACACUUCUCACCUUCCAGUAUUUUGUGGAUUUAUCAAUUAAAACAUGGCAACUUUCAGGAGGAAUCAAACCACUGUAUUUUUGAUUCAUCAAUACAUUUAGUCCGUAAAGGCUCUCCAGUCCCGUUUUCAUUAUUAUUUAUAUUUU
ensembl:lncRNA